GUAUGUCUAGCGGCGGACGGGUGAGUAACGCGUGAGCAACCUGUCCUUACAGGGGGAUAACACAGCGAAAGUUGUACUAAUACCGCAUAAGACCACGGUGAGACAUCUCGACAGGGGGUCAAAAGGAGCAAUCCGGGUAAGGGGUGGGCUCGCGUCCGAUUAGAUAGUUGGUGAGGUAACGGCCCACCAAGUCGACGAUCGGUAGCCGACCUGAGAGGGUGAUCGGCCACAUUGGGACUGAGACACGGCCCAAACUCCUACGGGAGGCAGCAGUGGGGAAUAUUGGGCAAUGGGGGGAACCCUUGACCCAGCAACGCCGCGUGAGGGAAGAAGGUUUUCGGAUCGUAAACCUCUGUCCUUGGUGAAGAGUUAAGAGACGGUAGCCAAGGAGGAAGCCCCGGCUAACUACGUGCCAGCAGCUGC
rnacentral:rRNA from 1 species